rnacentral:rRNA from 1 species
GAUGAACGCUGGCGGCGUGCUUAACACAUGCAAGUCGAACGGAAAGGCUCCUGCUUGCAGGGGUACUCGAGUGGCGAACGGGUGAGUAACACGUGGGUGAUCUGCCCUGCACUUCGGGAUAAGCCUGGGAAACUGGGUCUAAUACCGGAUAGGACCACAUUUUGGAUGGUGUGGUGGAAAGUUUUUCGGUGUGGGAUGAGCUCGCGGCCUAUCAGCUUGUUGGUGGGGUAAUGGCCUACCAAGGCGUCGACGGGUAGCCGGCCUGAGAGGGUGUACGGCCACAUUGGGACUGAGAUACGGCCCAGACUCCUACGGGAGGCAGCAGUGGGGAAUAUUGCACAAUGGGCGCGAGCCUGAUGCAGCGACGCCGCGUGGGGGAUGACGGCCUUCGGGUUGUAAACUCCUUUCGCUAGGGACGAAGCGCAAGUGACGGUACCUGGAGAAGAAGCACCGGCUAACUACGUG